GACGAACGCUGGCGGCGCGCUUAACACAUGCAAGUCGAGCGAAGCGGCGGUCGGGUGAGUAACACGUGAGUAACCUGCCUUAGACAUUGGGAUAGCCUCGGGAAACCGGGAUUAAUACCAAAUGGUCUAAGAUGGACUCGCGUCCCAUUAGCUAGUUGGGAGGUAACGGCCCACCAAGGCGACGAUGGGUAGCCGGCCUGAGAGGUUGAACGGGCACAUUGGAACUGAGAAACGGUCCAAACUCUACGGUAGGCAGCAGUGGGGAAUAUUGCACAAUGGAGGUAACUCUGAGGCAGCGACGCCGCGUGAACGAAGAAGUCUUUCGAGUCGUAAAGUUCUUUUAUAUGGGAAGCGGUACCAUAAGAAAAAGCCCCGGCUAACUACGUGCCAGCCGCCGCGGUAAUUC
rnacentral:rRNA from 1 species